AACGUAGCUGCAGUCGACGAUUCCUACGGGAGGCAGCAGUAGGGAAUAUUGCGCAAUGGGGGAAACCCUGACGCAGCAACGCCGCGUGUGGGAUGACGGCUUUCGGGUUGUAAACCACUUUCAGUGAUGACGAAAAUGACGGUAAUCACAGAAGAAGGUCCGGCCAACUACGUGCCAGCAGCCGCGGUAACACGUAGGGACCAAGCGUUGUCCGGAUUUAUUGGGCGUAAAGGGUCCGUAGGGGGUUUGAUAAGUCUGGUGUGAAAGCCCAAGGCUCAACCUUGGAAUUGCAUCAGAAACUGUCAAACUUGAGCAUAGGAGAGGAGAGUGGAAUUCCUGGUGUAGCGGUGGAAUGCGUAGAUAUCAGGAGGAACACCGAUGGCGAAGGCAGCUCUCUGGACUAUUGCUGACCCUGAGGGACGAAAGCUAGGGGAGCGAACAGGAUUAGAUACCCUGGUAGUCCUAGCCGUAAACGUUGUACACUAGGUGUGGGAGGAAUUGACCCCUUCCGCGCCCCAGCUAACGCGAUAAGUGUACCGCCUGGGGAGUACGGCGGCAACGCUAAAACUCAAAUGAAUUGACGG
rnacentral:rRNA from 1 species